GGUUAAGCGACUAAGCGUACACGGUGGAUGCCCUGGCAGUCAGAGGCGAUGAAGGACGUGCUAAUCUGCGAUAAGCGUCGGUGAGGUGAUAUGAACCGUUAUAACCGGCGAUUUCCGAAUGGGGAAACCCAGUGUGUUUCGACACACUAUCAUUAACUGAAUCCAUAGGUUAAUGAGGCGAACCGGGGGAACUGAAACAUCUAAGUACCCCGAGGAAAAGAAAUCAACCGAGAUUCCCCCAGUAGCGGCGAGCGAACGGGGAGGAGCCCAGAGCCUGAAUCAGUGUGUGUGUUAGUGGAAGCGUCUGGAAAGGCGCGCGAUACAGGGUGACAGC
rnacentral:rRNA from 1 species